CGCGGGGCGCCGGGGCCGCGCCGGCGCUCAGCUCGCCCUCCCUUUCUGCCGCCCCAGCCUGGUGCCUGAGGAACGAAGGCGUCAGCUCCGUGCUGCUCGGUGCCUCCAACGCGGACCAGCUCAUGGAGAAUAUCGGAGCAAUACAGGUUCUUCCAAAGCUGUCAUCUUCCAUUAUCCAUGAAAUCGAUAGUAUCCUGGGCAAUAAACCAUACAGCAAGAAGGACUACCGAUCCUAAUCGUGCAUACCGUCCGCCUGGACCCACUGUCAACUCCUAGUCUCCCGUUCGCUUGCUUAAGCUUUGUUGAAGCAAAGUGGAGAGUGUGGUUUGCAUCAAGAGCACAACAUGUCAAGAUGUUAUAGAGAAAUUGUUUAAAACGUUGCUGCAAGACAACAUAUGCUUAUUACGUAACAUUUUUUUGGAAUGCGAGAAAAGUCACUGGUCGGGAAGAGCGCGAAAGCAAUUUCACCCUCGCUGUUUAGCCUCUGAGCUUCCUUUUUAAAAGAAGAAACUACCUUUUUUUCCACAAACACACGGGACGUCACUGUUUUCCAUUAAUUCAGGCUCCUGUACAGUUUGCUUGAAUGCUCAGCUCUGGCAUGCAGCGCAUUUAACUGGAAGGACGAUGGUGUCCCUUAGAAAGGCCGGCUUUCCAGUGAGCGGGCUAAUGCGAGCUUGGAGGACUCUGUCUGCGAGAACCAUCUAGGCAUGUUAGAAACAGCUGUUUCGGACUACUGCAUGCGUCUCCCAGCUGCUGCUGUUCUGUCGUUUCCUUGUUCGUGGGGCUGAAUGAGAAGAUUUUCGUUCUGGGAUGUAUCCAGCGCAAAUCGCAGCAGCGGCAGCGCCCGGGCGAGCUCUGCGGGUGCCUCUGCGCAUCACCUAAAUGCCGUAGGGCACCRGGUCUCAGAGGUAACAGCCGCAGGGAUUUGUGUUCCAUUAUGCACAGCAAAUAAAUACGUGUAUGGUUAUUACAGUAAGUUAGCGUCUUCUCGUAACCUCUGCCUCCUAGAUGAAAAGCAAGUAUCCCCUAGGAGCAGCAAAAAGUCUCUUCUCUGUAGUCUACCGUGUGAUCCAGGGUGCGGAAUUAUUCCAGUGCUUAAGGUCAACAGAACCAUAUCCAGUACGAAUCUUCCAUUAAAAAGGCAGAUUAAUACUAAUAAACGGUGAUAAAAGCAACUGCGUUGGGACAUUAUUCUUUCCUGGCAGGGCGCCGUGUCCCUG
rnacentral:lncRNA from 1 species